GUUUCUCAGUGCUACUGAAUGAUAAAAUCGAGUAACAGGAGAUUCUCUGGGACCCAGUGGCCACAGAGCCCCUGUUCAGAGAGGAGGAGAUAGAACCAGCCCUCGGGACUGACUCCCGCCUGCGGGGACAUUGCUGAUCGGAUUCACCGCUGGCCCUCGGCAGCGCCCGUCAGGAGGGGGACACUACCAGGCAGCGGGGGCCUAUCAGUUGAUCCUUCCCGGGCUGCCACGUCCCGUGCAGAAGGCACCGUCACUUUUCCAAGAGAACAACCUGCAGGUAGCAGGUCCUCGGUGACAGGCGCUCCCCGCUGCUGGGGACAGCCCACGCAGAGCCGUGUCAGCUCUCACGAGUCUCUUUGAUAAGUACCAGGGCUGAAGGGGGACAAAAAACCCUCUUUGAAAAGUAGAGCAUCGUAGGGAGAGUCCUGAGCCUGAGAGCGACUUCCCGUCACUUCCUUCCUGGCCAACUGGCUGGUUUUAAUGUGGUUAGUGUCUCCUUACCUGUUUGCUUGUUUCUGGUCCAAAAAGCCAGUGGAGUGGAGGGCUGGACCCCGCCCCGCCCCCAGCUCCGUUCUGGACGGGUGACUUGAGUGGUCGCUCACACGGGGUGAAAGGGCAAAUGCGGGAACUCGGUUCUUCUCCUCGAGGGGGACAUCAUGUCCUCACGGUUUCUCAUCAAUCAUCGUUAUGUUAACUGAACUUAUGUAUGGGGUGCAGUCUUUGUCUCCCACAUUCUGCCUUCUGCUUCAGGGCUGGGCCUGCAGUUGCUACUUGGUGAAUAUUUCCUGGUCGGUGGCUGGAUGGCGCGCAGUUUCCUUUUCCUGAAGCCGUGUUCCAGAGUCGGUGCGUCUUCUCCACUCCAUGGGGCCUGGUGGCACACAUCUGUAAUCUCAGCGGCUCAGGAGGCUGAGGCAGGAGGAUUGCAAGCUUGAGAUGUGAACCCUGCUGCUAUUCAGGGAACCCGUCUAGACUUUCUUGUUUGUCGUCAUUAAAAAGGAAGAUGAUUUAGGAAGAAACGAGUCUUGCUUUUCUGGAGACGCAGGCUGUAGGACUAAUUGGCGGUGUUCUCUGGCUCAUGGCGAGGCCAGCCUCUGCCCACGUUAAAUUUGGGCAAUUCUACAAAACUAAGGACAACAUCCCAACCAGGACGCUGACGUGGUCAAGAGACGGAACCCACAGCGACCCUCCUCUUUUGCUCUUGGAGCUGUCUCCAGUUAAAGUGUCUUUGUGAGAACUCAACCUGAAGGGAGCUCAAGCAAGAAGAGAAAAGAGUGUCUUAGAAGAUGCAGAGUGGCAGAAUCCGUGCGAUGACCAGGACGGUCAGUGGCCCCCCUCAGAGGCAGGAAGGCCGUCCUCUGAGAGAAGCAGAGAGGUGACCAUCUCCCAUCUUCUGGUGAGGACGUCUCAGUAUUGGCUGCACUUUAUACCCGACCUGGGCCUCGCCCCGUGUCGC